GAGUUAGGGUCUCUAGGCCCGACCUCCAACCCAAUGUCUACCUUACCAUGUUGCUUUGGCGGGCCCGUCGUUCGUUCGACCGCCUCCGGGCCAGUGCCCGCCAGAAGCCCAAUCAAAUUCUUCUGAAAAAUUGCCGUCUUAGUAUACAAGCAAUAAAUUAAAACUUUCAACAACGGAUCUCUUGGUUCUGGCAUCGAUGAAGAACGCAGCGAAAUGCGAUAAGUAAUGUGAAUUGCAGAAUUAUGUGAACCAUCGAAUCUUUGAACGCAUAUUGCGCCCUUUGGUAUUCCGAAGGGCAUGCCUGUCCGAGCGUCAUUGUCCACCAUCAAGCCCGGCUUGUGAGUUGGGCCCCGCGCCGUUGAAGCGCGGGCCCGAAAGUCAGUGACGGUGCCGCGGCUGGCCCCCAGAUGUAGCGAGCUUUACAAGCAGCAUCCGGGCGGUCGGCGGGCCCGCCUCAACCAUGUUUUAACACCAGGUUGACCUCGGAUCAGGUAGGGAUACCCGCUGAACUUAAGCAUAUCAAUAAGCGGAGGAAAAGAAACCAACAGGGAUUACCCUAGUAACGGCGAGUGAAGCGGUAACAGCUCAAAUUUGAAAUCUGGCUCUCGGGCUCGAGUUGUAAUUUGUAGAGGAUGCUUCGGGCAAGGCCUCGGUCUAAUUUCCUUGGAACAGGGAGUCAUAGAGGGUGAGAAUCCCGUCUGGGACCGCCGGCCGCGUCCAUGUGAAGCUCCUUCGACGAGUCGAGUUGUUUGGGAAUGCAGCUCAAAAUGGGUGGUAAAUUUCAUCUAAAGCUAAAUAUUGGCCAGAGACCGAUAGCGCACAAGUAGAGUGAUCGAAAGAUGAAAAGCACUUUGAAAAGAGAGUUAAACAGUAUGUGAAAUUGUUGAGAGGGAAGCGCUUGUGACCAGACUUGCGUGCGGUGGCUCAGCCGGUGUUCUCACCGGUGUACUCCUCCGUAUCCAGGCCAGCAUCGGUUUGGGCGGCCGGUUAAAGGCCCCGGGAAUGUACCACCCUCCGGGGUGACUUAUAGCCCGGGGUGCAAUGCGACCUGCCC
rnacentral:rRNA from 1 species